AGGGUUGUAUUUAAUUAUAAUAAUUAGCUCGCAUCUAAUAGGUGUCUAUUGACCAAUCUUA
rnacentral:tRNA from 1 species